rnacentral:rRNA from 1 species
GACGAACCGUGCGAACGUUGUUCGGAAUCACUGGGCUUAAAGGGCGCGUAGGCGGGCCGCCGCGUCCGGGGUGAAAUCCCACGGCUCAACCGUGGAACGGCCCCGGGUACUGGCGGUCUGGAGGGGGGUAGGGGCGUGCGGAACUGUGCGUGGAGCGGUGAAAUGCGUUGAGAUGCACAGGAACCCCGGUGGCGAAGGCGGCACGCUGGGCCCUUUCUGACGCUGAGGCGCGAAAGCCAGGGGAGCGAACGGG